rnacentral:rRNA from 1 species
CGAUAGGUCAUCACUUCUGGAAUGGGUAAUGACUUUAAAUCUAUAUGGCCCCCUGGAUUGGACUGCGGCCGAUCAGGCUGUUGGUGAGGUAAUGGCCCACCAAACCUGUAACCGGUACGGGCUCUGAGAGGAGGAGCCCGGAGAUGGGCACUGAGACAAGGGCCCAGGCCCUAUGGGGCGCAGCAGGCGCGAAACCUCUGCAAUAGGCGAAAGCUUGACAGGGUUACUCUGAGUGAUUUCCGUUAAGGAGAUCUUUUGGCACCUCUAAAAAUGGUGCAGAAUAAGGGGUGGGCAAGUCUGGUGUCAGCCGCCGCGGUAAUACCAGCACCCCGAGUGGUCGGGACGUUUAUUGGGCCUAAAGCAUCCGUAGCCGGUUCUACAAGUCUUCCGUUAAAUCCACCUGCUUAACAGAUGGGCUGCGGAAGAUACUAUAGAGCCUAGGAGGCGGGAGAGGCAAGCGGUACUCGAUGGGGUAGGGGKUAAAAAUCCGUUGAUCCAUUGAA